rnacentral:rRNA from 1 species
AAAACGGAGAGUUUGAUCCUGGCUCAGGAUGAACGCUGGCGGUAUGCUUAACACAUGCAAGUCGAACGAAAUCUUCGGAUUUAGUGGCGGACGGGUGAGUAACGCGUGAGAAUCUGGCUUCAGG